UAUUACCCUAAUAAAGUUAGAAAAAUAAAUGCACAAUUUAAUAGAAACAAUUUAAAUUUAAGAACAAAUGUAAUUGUUAUGCACUUAUAUUUAUUUAUUAAUUGAUGAUGAAUUAAUUAUUAUUAUGUACAUGUAUCUCUAUUGAAGUAUAUAUAAUUUAUAUAUUCAUCCUGUGUAGAUGUAACUUAUGUAUUAUAUAGUGAUUAAUUUCUGGAACAUUCAAAUUAGCAUCAGCCACAACGUAAAUAUUUAUGACCCCUCAAGUGGAACCUGCUGUUUUCAUAACUACCAAAGUUAAACUCACCUAUCUGAUAUAAGAGAAUAGAAAGAGGUAAAGCAGGUUUACAACAAACUAUAUUACACUGUAGCUCCCAAGUAACUUAAUACCCUUGCAGAACAAAUCACAGGUCAGAACACUCCUUCCAGGCGGGUCAUUUGAACAGAAGCAUUGGAAGAAAAUGUUUAUUAGUGCCUAUUCUGCUUAAAAGUUAUAACUUGAAAUAUUAUGUUGGAGCAUUGGAAAUUAGACCAAAUGAGUUUAAACUGGACAAAUUUACAAGAGUUUUCUGGAAAUAUGAACUUUUAAACAUGUGUAUUUCAUGAUUCAGUUAAAAUGGAGGGAACUACAUGUAUAUAACCAUUUCUAACAGUUGCAAACUUUCAAGUCUUGGAGUCACAUGAGAUGUUUCAACUCAAAGGAUGUCAGAUGAGGGAAAAGUGAUAAAUGUACUGUUGAAUACAGAAUGCUUACAAAACCAUCCUGGACCAACUGCAGAGCAAGGUUAUUGGCAUAACCAGCUACAGUAAGAAGGCCGUUGUUCUAUUCCGCUUUUUGUAUAAAGAGGAGGAAUAUGCCGGAAUAUCAUUGACAGGGAAAGCAUCCAAAAGUGGCGAAAAAAGGCCACCUGUUUGACCAAGAAAAGUUGACAGGA